rnacentral:lncRNA from 1 species
CACAACUGGAGCCGAUCUCUGGCUUUUGUUCCAUUGCAACUCCUUUCCCCUAGAUGUCCAGGGCCACACCCCUUCCUCUUGAGGCUCAAAUUCUCACCGGGCCCUGGGCUGCAGAGCAGAGUGCUGCUUGCAAGGGAUAGAACAAGACUGGCAGUGUUUCUCCGAACUGCUGUAGACCUGGGUAGAAAAGCAUGUUUAGAAACCGGAAGGAAGAGUAACUAUGCUCUCACAAAAUGCGGGCUCCUGGUUGAGGGCGACCUCUGCCCUCUGUUCUGCUCCCAGCAGUGGACUGCGAAAACCCACGCUGCUGGCAGGAGAUGAAAGGGGAUCUUUCAACAUUUCCACCCAUUGUCUGCACUUUCUCCCUGCUUGGUCACCCUCAGAUUUGUUAUGGAAUUGCGUUACUGUGGGGCUUUCCCUGCCCCCAGAAACAACUCUGAGAGAAGAGCCAGCAGCUGAGUAAAUUUGCGUUCCAGAGAGGAGAACACAGAAGCACAUGACGAAGUGAAGCCGGCCUGGGGUGAGCGUGGGGGCUUGGACUCUACCGAGGGGCACUGGGGGGUCCACUAUGGCGCAGGAACCAGAAGACCCGAGCUGAAAUCCUGAUUACUCUGUGACUUUGCAUGACUUUGACCAAGGAAGCUUUAAGAUGGCUGCAUGAAAGACGCAGGAAAACUAAAUUGGAAACUUGGAGCACUUAGCAGCUCCACCUAACCAAUGAGGAAUUGUAGUGGUUUGUGGAGGUAGGGCUGCAGUAGCCAGAGCACAGGCCCUGCCCACGGGGGGUUCUGCCUACCUUGGGAGCUACCACACAGACGAUC